rnacentral:rRNA from 1 species
GACGAACGCUGGCGGCGUGCUUAACACAUGCAAGUCGAACGGAAAGGCCCUGCUUUUGUGGGGUGCUCGAGUGGCGAACGAGUGAGUAACACGUGAGUAACCUGCCCUUGACUUUGGGAUAACUUCAGGAAACUGGGGCUAAUACCGGAUAGGAGCUCCUGCUGCAUGGUGGGGGUUGGAAAGUUUCGGCGGUUGGGGAUGGACUCGCGGCUUAUCAGCUUGUUGGUGGGGUAGUGGCUUACCACGGCUUUGACGGGUAGCCGGCCUGAGAGGGUGACCGGCCACAUUGUGACUGAGGUACGGGCCAGACUGCUACUGGAGGCAGCAGUGGAGAAUAUUGCACAAUGGGCGGAAGCCUUAUGCAGCAACGCCGCGUGCGGGAUGACGGCCGUCGGGUUGGAACCCGCUUUCGCCUGUGACGAAGCGUGAGUGACGGUAAUGGGUAAAGAAGCACCGGCUAACUACGUG